rnacentral:rRNA from 1 species
AUUGAACGCUGGCGGCAGGCCUAACACAUGCAAGUCGAACGAGUGGCGGACGGGUGAGUAAUGUCUGGGAAACUGCCCGAUGGAGGGGGUUAACUACUGGAAACGGUAGCUAAUACCGCAUACCAUCGGAUGUGCCCAGAUGGGAUGAGCUAGUAGGUGGGGUAACGGCUCACCUAGGCGACGAUCCCUAGCUGGUCUGAGAGGAUGACCAGGCAGCCUGUAACGGAGACACGGUACAGACUGCUAGGGGAGGCAGCAGUGGGGAAUAUUGCACAAUGGGGGAAAGCCUGAUGCAGCCAUGCCGCGUGUAUGAAGAAGGCCUUCGGGUGGUAAAGUACGUUCAGCGAGGAGGCGUUACUCGCAGAAGAAGCACCGGCUAACUCCGUGCCAGCAGCCGCGGUAAUUC